rnacentral:rRNA from 1 species
GAUGAACGCUGGCGGCGUGCCUAAUACAUGCAAGUCGAGCGAACAGACGAGGAGCUUGUUCCUCUGACGUUAGCGGCGGACGGGUGAGUAACACGUGGAUAACCUACCUAUAAGACUGGGAUAACUUCGGGAAACCGGUGCUAAUACCGCAUAAUAUAUUGAACCGCAUGGUUCAAUAGUGAAAGACGCUUUUGCCGUCACUUAUAGAUGGACCCGCGCCGCAUUAGCUAGUGGGUAAGGAAACGGCUUACCAAGGCAACGAUGCUUAGCCGACCGGAGGGGGUGAGCGACCACAGGAGAACGGCAACACGGUCCAGACUCCGAGGGGAGGCAGCAGUGGAGAAUCGGACAAAAGGGGCAAGAGGCUGACGGAACAACGCCGCGUGAGAGAAGGAGGUCUGCGGGUAGAAAAACUCUGGUAGUGGAGAAAAACAAAUGUGUAAGUAACUAUGCACGUUGACGGGGUACAUAAACAGAGAGCCGGCGCUAUCUACG